AAUGGGCGCAACGUGAUCCAGCGAUGCCGCGUGUGUGAAGAAGGCCUGCGGGUUGUAAAGCACUUUCAGUAGGGAAGAAAGGCCGAGUGCUAAUAUCAUUCGGUCUUGACGUUACUUACAGAAGAAGCACCGGCUAACUCCGUGCCAGCAGCCGCGGUAAUACGGAGGGUGCGAGCGUUAAUCGGAAUUACUGGGCGUAA
rnacentral:rRNA from 1 species